ACCCUUGCCAUGGUGAAGGAACAGGAAACUGUCCUAAAUCUAUCUUCGGAUAUUUAGUCACACCUAAAGCGAGGGUUU
rnacentral:ncRNA from 1 species